GUGGGGAAUAUUGGACAAUGGGGGGAACCCUGAUCCAGCCAUGCCGCGUGUGUGAAGAAGGCCUUUUGGUUGUAAAGCACUUUAAGCGAGGAGGAGGCUACCGAGAUUAAUACUCUUGGAUAGUGGACGUUACUCGCAGAAUAAGCACCGGCUAACUCUGUGCCAGCAGCCGCGGUAAUACAGAGGGUGCGAGCGUUAAUCGGAUUUACUGGGCGUAAAGCGUUCGUAGGCGGCUUUUUAAGUCGGAUGUGAAAUCCCCGAGCUUAACUUGGGAAGUGCAGUCGAUACUGGUUGGCUAGAGUAUGGGAGAGGAUGGUAGAAUUCCAGGUGUAGCGGUGAAAUGCGUAGAGAUCUGGAGGAAUACCGAUGGCGAAGGCAGCCAUCUGGCCUAAUACUGACACUGAGGUGCGAAAGCAUGGGGAGCAAACAGGAUUAGAAACCCUAGUAGUCC
rnacentral:rRNA from 1 species